rnacentral:rRNA from 1 species
GACGAACGCUGGCGGCGUGCUUAACACAUGCAAGUCGAACGGAAAGGCCCUGCUUUUGUGGGGUGCUCGAGUGGCGAACGGGUGAGUAACACGUGAUUAACCUGCCCUUGACUUGGGGAUAACUUCAGGAAACUGGGGCUAAUGCCGGAUAGGAGCUCCUGCUGCAUGGUGUGGGUUGGAAAGUUUCGGCGGUUGGGGAUGGGCUCGGGGCUUAUCAGCUUGUUGGUGGGGUAGUGGCUUACCAAGGCUUUGACGGGUAGCCGGCCUGAGAGGGUGACCGGCCACAUUGGGACUGAGAUACGGCACAGACUCCUACGGGAGGCAGCAGUGGGGAAUAUUGCACAAUGGGCGGAAGCCUGAUGCAGCAACGCCGCGUGCGGGAUGACGGCCUUCGGGUUGUAAACCGCUUUCGCCUGUGACGAAGCGUGAGUGACGGUAAUGGGUAAAGAAGCACCGGCUAACUACGUG